rnacentral:tRNA from 1 species
GCCCUGGUAUCAGAAUGGUUAAGUACUUGGCUGCUAACCAAGUUUGGUGGUUGGAACCCACCCAGUGGCU